GGCUGUGUGCCUAAUACUGCAUGUCGAACUCCCACUUGUGCUUAGUGCAAAUGGGUGACCCCACGUACUUAAUCUACCCCCAAGUUUGGGAUAACAGUUGGAAACAAUUGCUAAUACCCACAUACAUAUAAGUUUUGCAUAAUUCUUAUAUAAAAGGAGCGUUUGUUUCGCUAGGGGAUGAGAGUGCGCUACAUUAGUUAGUUGGUAGGGUAAGAGCCUACCAAGACUAUGAUGUAUAGCGGGGCUGAGAAGCUGAACCGCCACACUGGGACUGAGAUACGGCCCAGACUCCUACGGGAGGCAGCAGUAGGGAAUAUUCCACAAUGAGCGAAAGCUUGAUGGAGCAACACAGCGUGCAGGAAGACGACCUUAGGGUUGUAAACUGCUGUUAUGAGGGAAGAAAAAUAAAAUUAGGAAAUGAAUUUUACAUGACGGUACCUCAUCGGAAAGCACCGGCAAACUAUGUGCCAGCAGCCGCGGUAAUACAUAGGGUGCAAGCGUUAUCCGGAAUUAUUGGGCGUAAAGUGUCUGUAGGUGGUAUGUUAAGUCUAGUGUUAAAGACUAGGGCCCAACCCUAGCACGCUCUAGAUACUGACAUGCUAGAGUCAUAGAGAGGUUAGCGGAACUCCUAGUGAAGCGGUGAAAU
rnacentral:rRNA from 1 species